CAGCAAGCUAUAAAGAAAAGAAUGCUGAGCCAAGGAAGAGGGGUCAGUAUCCAGUCACCUUGGACAGGUCACUUCCCUUUCCUGUGCAUUAGUGCUCUCAUCAAUAAAAUGAGGAUAAGGAGAAUACCUGCUCAGCAUACCUAAUAUACAGGGAAAAGGAAAAGGUUGUUCACAGAGAUCUUCAGGACCUGCUGUGCUUCAGACUACAUUUUUUGGCACCUUCCUUGGUGUGUUGCUGUCCGUGGUGCUGAAACAUCCUUAGGCUUAAAGGAGCCCUUAUGGAGGCAGCGCACCUCCAGCAGCGGGAGCGGCCCCGCCAAGCUCCUUUCCAGGACCCACACUCAGAUCUCAGCAUCCAGCCCCAGAGCUCUGACCUAUGUGGGGUCUCCUGCUUCAAUGCUGAGAUGCGAGCAAUCGAGAGAGGCAGCAUUACCAGGGAGGCUUGAAUUGACUCUUACAUAUUUUUCAAAAGUAAAUUAUGUACAAACUGCUCUAAUUACUGGUGAGCAUGCCCCUGAAACCCCUCCUGGCUGAUAGAGCCACAGCAAGAGGCCCGGCACCAGUGCUGAGGGCCCAGUCAGCUGUCCCAGGUCACCAGCAGUCCCAGGGACAUGAACUACGGUGAGGAAACUCCAGCUGUCAGUCCUGGGAUUUAUAGUCCUGUGAAAGCCACGGCCUCUCCUGGGGCCCAUGUGGUACUAGCCCCCCAGGCUGGGCCUGUGAUGAGCACGCUGCGCUGAUAGAGACCCCAGUCCGGAGCUGGGAUGCAACCAGCCACCCUGCCUGUUCUGAGCCCCAGGUGCCACGUCUGCCCCCUACUUACUGCCUAGGUUUCUGGCUCAGGGAGGGACCUGGGCCCCCAGUGGCUCAGGACCGAACUAAGGUAGGGAGAGAAGCUCAGGGGCUCUGGAUUUAGACCAGAAGACAUUCAAGUGGACAGAUUCCCAGUGAGGAAAGUUGCGUCUCCCUGGCCGCUGUGCAUGAGGAGCUUCUGAAGCUGCAGAAAGAGCAGUGUUUGGUCUCCGGGCUCUGCAGCAGGACUGGCACACCCCCGCCUCUGCUGUGCUUCUCGUUACCCGACCCUGGAAGGAAGGACGGGACUAGGACUCCCCUCUGAGUUAAGGUCCCUUCCCACUGAAACAGCUGAGAAGCUAUAGCUGCAAAGGCUGAGGGGGGAGGGCAGCAGAUUUGAGGUGGAGACGGCUGGCCUGAAGGGACAUGGCUUUCCUGCUUGUGAAAUGGGACCAUUUCUCUUCCUUCCCCCGUGAGCUCCAAGGCAGGGGGUGACAGGGGGAAUUCUAUGUACAAGGCGACCUCAGGCUGCUGACAGGUGAGUCCCUGGCUAGGCUGGGAUCGCUCUGGAGAGAGACCUGGUAGGUAGGCACAGGCCAGAGUGCGGCAGGUACAGGAGUGAGAAAGAGGCUGUGGGUGACUGGCUCCAUGAAGCCAUCUUAUGAAAACCCAGAAUUAAGAUCUACAUAGCGGAGUUCCCGUCGUGGCUCAGUGGUUAACGAAUCCGACUA